AGUGAGCGCUGGCGGUAGGCCUAACACAUGCAAGUCGAACGGCAGCACAGUAAGAGCUUGCUCUUACGGGUGGCGAGUGGCGGACGGGUGAGGAAUACAUCGGAAUCUACUUUUUCGUGGGGGAUAACGUAGGGAAACUUACGCUAAUACCGCAUACGACCUACGGGUGAAAGCAGGGGAUCUUCGGACCUUGCGCGAUUGAAUGGGCCGAUGUCGGAUUAGCUAGUUGGCGGGGUAAAGGCCCACCAAGGCGACGAUCCGUAGCUGGUCUGAGAGGAUGAUCAGCCACACUGGAACUGAGACACGGUCCAGACUCCUACGGGAGGCAGCAGUGGGGAAUAUUGGACAAUGGGCGCAAGCCUGAUCCAGCCAUACCGCGUGGGUGAAGAAGGCCUUCGGGUUGUAAAGCCCUUUUGUUGGGAAAGAAAAGCAGCAGGUUAAUACCCCGCUGUUCUGACGGUACCCAAAGAAUAAGCACCGGCUAACUUCGUG
rnacentral:rRNA from 1 species